rnacentral:lncRNA from 1 species
UAUUCCUUAAGCAAUUUAUAGUCUUGCCUUUUCUGAUCUGAUGAGGAUGUACAUUCAGAUCACAAAGAUGAGGGUCCGGAUAUGACCACUAGCCAUCCUGAGGCACCUUAAGGUAUUAAUCAUUUCAUUGCUCCUGAUGCAUUUUGAUCAUAUGCACUUUUUAUUUACCUUGUUUCUUUUUUGCAGAUAUGGACCCUAGCUUGUUUCUGAAAGGUUUGAGUUUGAAGAAGAAAGCUUCCAUUUCUUUAUCUCAAUCUUCAACAGUUCCUGCCUCAACAGCCAAUGAUAAAUCUUAUGGCUUCAAAGUUUCUUCCUCGAAAGGUAGAGGAAAGAAGACUAAGCCUCAUCUUCAUUCUAUAGAGCCACUUUGAAAAGAAUAAGUCUUGGGAAGGCUCUUCCCUUUUAAAGAAGUCCUAG